CACGUAGGGUGCGAGCGUUGUCCGGAAUUAUUGGGCGUAAAGCGCUCGUAGGCGGUUUUUCGCGUCGGCCGUGAAAACCUGCAGCUUAACUGUGGGCUUGCGGUCGAUACGGGCAUCACUGGAGUUCGGCAGGGGAGACUGGAAUUCCUGGUGUAGCGGUGAAAUGCGCAGAUAUCAGGAGGAACACCGGUGGCGAAGGCGGGUCUCUGGGCCGAUACUGACGCUGAGGAGCGAAAGCGUGGGGAGCGAACAGG
rnacentral:rRNA from 1 species